rnacentral:rRNA from 1 species
AUAGAUACCUGUAGUCCAUGCCGUAAACGUUGGGCACUAGGUGUGGGGCUCAUUCCACGAGUUCCGUGCCGCAGCAAACGCAUUAAGUGCCCCGCCUGGGGAGUACGGCCGCAAGGCUAAAACUCAAAGGAAUUGACGGGGGCCCGCACAAGCGGCGGAGCAUGCGGAUUAAUUCGAUGCAACGCGAAGAACCUUACCAAGGCUUGACAUGCACGGGAAGCCACCAGAGAUGGUGGUCUCUUUGGACACUCGUGCACAGGUGGUGCAUGGUUGUCGUCAGCUCGUGUCGUGAGAUGUUGGGUUAAGUCCCGCAACGAGCGCAACCCUCGUCCCAUGUUGCCAGCGGGUUAUGCCGGGGACUCAUGGGAGACUGCCGGGGUCAACUCGGAGGAAGGUGGGGAUGACGUCAAAUCAUCAUGCCCCUUAUGUCUUGGGCUUCACGCAUGCUACAAUGGCCGGUACAAAGGGCUGCGAUGCCGUAAGGUGGAGCGAAUCCCAAAAAGCCGGUCUCAGUUCGGAUUGGGGUC